rnacentral:rRNA from 1 species
AAAAAGCGUCAAAGCUUACUAUGUUUAUCCUAAUUUCUUAAUCUCACUCGACCCCUUUAAUUAUACUGAGAACUUCUAUAAGAUUAUAGAACCUUUUAUGCUAAAACUAGUAACAAGAGGUAACCCCUCUCUACAAUGUAAGUAUACGCCAACAAGAACCCACCAUUGGCAAUCGACAGAUUUAAAUAAAAGUGGCAACUUCCCCAGAAAACCCCACCCUACUCAACUGUUAACCUAAUACCAGAACAUUUCAAGAAAGAUUAAAAGAAAGAGAAGGAACUCGGCAAACAUUAGCCCCGCCUGUUUACCAAAAACACCGCCUCUUGUCCCCCUAUAAGAGGUCUAGCCUGCCCAGUGACUUCUGUUCAACGGCCGCGGUAUCCUAACCGUGCAAAGGUAGCGUAAUCACUUGUCCCCUAAAUAGAGACUAGUAUGAAUGGCAUCACGAGGACUAAGCUGUCUCCUCCCCCUAAUCAGUGAACCUAAUAACCCCGUGAAGAAGCGGGAAUUUUUAUAUAAGACGAGAAGACCCUGUGGAGCUUAAAUCACUAUAACACCUGCCACCUCACUCUAUCUACCCAGGUCUUUCCCCCCCCGUGGCACUAUGAUUAUAUGUUUUUGGUUGGGGUGACCGCGGAGAAAAACCUAUCCUCCACAAUGAAAGGGACUUCCCUAAACAGUAAGCUACAACUUUAUGUAUCAGCAAACUGACAUCCAUUGACCCAAUAUAUUUGAUUAACGAACCAAGUUACCCCAGGGAUAACAGCGCAAUCCACUUCGAGAGCCCCUAUCGACAAGUGGGCUUACGACCUCGAUGUUGGAUCGUGGUAUCCUAGUGGUGCAGCCGCUACUAAAGGUUCGUUUGUUCAACGAUUAA